UGAGGGGAAGGAAGGAAGGAAGGAGGGGAGGCCAGUGGAAAUGCCUUAGUCAAGCCCUGGGACAGAGACCGCUUGUUUGCUUCAACUGUUUACUCUCAGGCUGAUGCAACCAUUUCUCUUGGAAAAUAUUUGUCUCCAGAAUUAUUUUGGGGGCAAAGCCUUGUGUUCCUGCUUGGGCAAGUUGGAGGACUGGCUGUUUCCCAGCAGUUUGUCUCUUCAGUGUGUGGACAGAGGCACAGCCCAUCUGUGGGCUUGGCCAGGGGGCCUCGUGGGGAAGUGGAGCCCCCGAGGCAGCCCCAUGGAGACCCUCAAAUCACGGUGGGGCCUGCAGCUGAUGCUCACAGAAACCCACUGCAGCAAUCACAUCUGCCACAUGUUCUGAGAGCUGCACCCUGCGCCAGGCAAAGGGACAGCACCUCUUUCCCUGAGGGUUGGAUGCAGAGCUGAAGAUGCACAGCUGAAGAUGCACAGCUGACUCGAAUCAGAAUCUGUAUGAGGAAACGAAAGUACAGAGAGGCAAAGCUCAUUCCCAAGACCACACCACCACUGCGGCCUGUUUAAUUCGAUUGUCACAGGUUCCUGGGUACACAAAAUGGUGGAACAGCUCAGAGAAAGACCGACAGAAAGAAAGAAAGCCUGACGAGAGAGAGAGAGAAUAAACUUCUGAGAGGUCAGGAACAUUUUUUGCAGAAAGAAAGACACUAAGCUGGCUUUGAAGCAUGAAAAGGACCUCCUCAGAGAGCAGGUGUGGUGACAGGUGUGAGACUUCCAGGCAGAGAGACCGGCUGGAGACGAGUGUGAUGUGAUGAGCCAUGGAGUGUCCGGGAUGCCACAGUCAUCAGUCUGGCUGGAUGGCUGUUCCUGGGGUGUCCACUAGGAGCCAGGCAUGGCGCUAGCGCAACCAUAAUAAGAGUGAGCUGGCUGAGUUGACAUCCUCCCAAAAUUCAUACAGUGAGACCCUAAACCUCAGUAUUUCAACGUGUGACUGUAUUUGGGAUAGAACCUUUAAAGAGGUUACUAAGUUAUGAUGAGGUCAUGGGGGGUGGCUAGUCCUAUAGGACUGGUGGAGAUUAGGGGAGAAGAAGUUAAAACCAGGCAUUUGCAGAUGAGGACCAUGUGAGGACAUAGGGAGAAGACAGCCACCUGCAAACCAAGGGGAGAGGCCUCAGGGAAACCAGCCCUGCAGAUCGUGGCCUGAUGUCACCCUGUGGGUGAGCUCAUUCCACACACAGGAGGGCCUGGAGGGUGUUGGAGAAGCAGCUGUGGAUAGAGGUGAGUGUCCUGGGAGGGCUGUGUGGAGGUAUCUACUGAUGUGGAGGCAGGAGGGUCAGAGACAGAAACGCUCCAGGGGACACUUGGAGUGUGGCGAGGAUGCACAAACUACGCUGCAAUUAGGAUGAAAGAGAUCAGACAACACACCGGCCUCCGGCUUAGGAUCUCUGUUACUGAACCACCGGCACAGCCACCUCCUCCUCUUGUCUCCUCCACACGCCCUGUGCAGGCCCACACAGGAGUUCCGUGGGGUCCCCUACACUUCACGGCUCACCACAUCACACACGUCUCCAGGUCUCACUCAUGUUCCCACACCUGCUAGAUGAAGUGUUUCUCAUGCUCCAAAGCCAGCUCAGUGUCCCCUCCUCCACAAACACCUGACUCCUCAGAGGUUCAUGCUUUCUGUCCGUCCAUCUCUCUCUGAGCUGCUCUGCCAUUUUGUCACCCAGGCUCAUGCAACAAUUGAGUUAAACAUCCUGCAAUGACCCACAGCAUGGUGCUUUCACGUGUGACACGUAGCAGAGGCCACGGAGAGCUCACCUCUGACCCCUCACACAGGGGCUGUUUUGUGACUGUUUGCUGAGUAAAGUUUGGACAGUGCUGGACCUUGGUCUUUUGUGUGACACACAGAAGGGCUUCCUUGUGACCUUGGACUGGUUGGGUAAACCUCGAGAAAAACAUUUGCCAGGACAGACAGGACAUGAUGCAAGGGAAAGCACCUAGGAGUGGAUGUCCUCACAAAGGGGCCCCAUCCUUAAGAGCCACCCUGAGCCCACAGCACACAUGCAGAAAAUGGUCUGUGUCUUGUUGCAGCCAUUUGCCCUGCCGCUAGCCCGUACAUGUGCCAUCUGGGCUGUUGGGGCUGGGCCCUCACUGUCACCAGCUGUGGGACCCUAGGAAAGCACUUAUGCUCUUGUCUAUAAAAUGGGAACAACGGUAGACUUUGCUGGUUGGUCAAGGGAUGGGUGAGAUCACAGGUGCAAAGUGUCUGGCAUGAGCUGUGUUUCUUUUUGAAAUAUUUUCUUAAAAAAAUGGGGUGGGCAGGUGCACUUCAGAGUGGAGUGGAAUGUAAUGGAAUGUGAGGCCUCAGUACUUUGGGGAUGGACAGGGCUUGGGGUCCUGACCUUUUUACCUCUAGUGGGCACUCAUCUCUGAUACAAUCCACACUCUAGAAUCUGAGGUGAGGGGGCACAGCUUCAUGGAAUCAUGCUGAGAGCAUGCAGAAUGGGGUGGGCAGGCGCACAAUGGGUUAGACUUGGGAGCAGUGAAGGACUCACCCAUUCAUUUGGUUAUGAGUGUCUGAUCCUCUUCAUUUCACAGAGCAGGAAACACGGGUUGCUUAGUGGAGGGAGGGAGGAAACUUACCUGGCUCAGUGGGAAUCUGGUGCUUGAGAUGCCCCCAAAUGAGCCUUCUGCUCCUGGUCAACUCUCCUCCACAGCACAGCACAGGACUGAGUGUAUAGCUCUGGGCCACACUCCCCCCACCGAAUUCUUGCUGCACCACUUAGGAGCUGUGUGACUGGGAUGAACUGACAGUUGUUGCUGAUAGGUGGGGACAAGCCUUGGACAUGUGCUUCCUGGUGGCCCUCGCCCAUUGGAACCGUCCUCCUGAGCUUUGUGGCACUGAGCUGGGCCUCAAGGGCCUGGACUCUGGACCUGUC